rnacentral:rRNA from 1 species
GACGAACGCUGGCGGCGUGCUUAACACAUGCAAGUCGAGCGGUAAGGCCCUUUCGGGGGUACACGAGCGGCGAACGGGUGAGUAACACGUGGGUGACCCGCCCUCAGCUCUGGGAUAAGCCUGGGAAACCGGGUCUAAUACUGGAUAUGACUCCAUGACGCAUGUUGUGGGGUGGAAAGCCUUGUGCGGCUGAGGAUGGGCCCGCGGCCUAUCAGCUUGUUGGUGGGGUGAUGGCCUACCAAGGCGACGACGGGUAGCCGGCCUGAGAGGGCGACCGGCCACACUGGGACUGAGACACGGCCCAGACUCCUACGGGAGGCAGCAGUGGGGAAUCUUGCGCAAUGGGCGAAAGCCUGACGCAGCGACGCCGCGUGA